CACUUCCAAGCAUUUCACGCCCGCCCACAGACUCACUCCCCUUGCCCAUGUAAGAUGGCUGCAGAUCCAGUCACAAUUAUCUUUCAGCAACUCAAGCUCCUGCAAGACAACCAGCUAUGACUUUGAUUAGAGGCCUCACAGGAUAUUGGAUAAUUGCACUGCUGACUCUUCAUGGUGCAGAUGUGAGAGGGCGAGGAAGGGCUCUCAUUGAGCCUGACGUACCUUUCCCACCUGCUCGUCCCACUGCUCAAAACCUCGCUGCCAUCUGCUAUCAAGGUCAGGGUCGUCCCAGAUACCCAUCCAGCUUCUUCCCGAGGUCUGGGUUCAGUCACUUCCGCUGCUGUGGAAAGGCCAUCAACCGCCUGGAGUUGUAGUACAGUUUGUGCUGCAGUGGACAGGUAGCACAGCAGAGCGACCAGAUCCUCUGCUGUGCCCAACAAGCUUGGAAACAAGCCCUGUCCCAGUUCUGUGAGGAAGAGUAUGCCACUAUGACCAACCCACAUGUGUGCUGUAAGAACAGCAGAGACGCACGGUGGACAUGCUUCGACAGCGAGCUGCCAAACCCAAACUACGAGCCAACACCAGGCUACACUGCACCCCCAGUCCCUGAGGAGCCAGAAUUCACCUUCAAUCCAAUUGCUUGCUGAAGGUUAUAAAAUAAAUAUAUACCGCAUAGAAUGGUAAUAAAAUAAUGAUCUUGUGUAACUUUGGGGAGGUAGAUUGGAUAAAUGUGUUCAUCACCUGCAUCAGAAAAAUGUACACGAUAAUGCUGAGCUAUUACUGCUGUGUCCUGCUGAUCUGGUCACAGAGGAGGAAAGGGCAUGCUGGUUGUGUUAAUGCUGAGUAAGGAUAAUAACAGCUGAAGUCAGUUAUUAUUUUGACAGAUCUGUAUUUUAACCAUGCUGUGUCAUGACAACAGGAAACUUGUUUUUUUAAUUGCAUUUUUAUGUCAUUGUUCACUGUUACAACCCAAAUAAGUGGUGUCUGUGGUGGAAUUUCCAUCUUACGAACUCAUGCCAUGUAAGCUGAGACAAUGGUACCCCAGGUCUCCCUCAGGUCCGUGUCCAACAUAACCUCAUAACCCAGAGGAGUUGUUCAACUUUGUGCCUUCAUGGAAGACAGGAGACAUAACAGCUGUAUGAUAAGACAGUGCUGGUCAGCCUGCCAAGGCCAUAGACAAUAAACAAUAAAGAUGUCCCAGUUUGACAGUAGUGCCUGGAAAAAUGUGGUGUUUGAUCAGUGUGUGUUUGAGGAAUAGUCAUGCUUCCUGUGUUUAAUGUUUCUUUCUUUUUUCUUCUGUAUAGUAUAGUGGAGCAAUUAAGCUAUUUAGAAUAGUAUCAUGUGGGGCUAAGACAUUUAAUGUCCCACUUUACCACUAUUCACCUAGUCUUACCUUCCUCCACAGCACUGUGGAGGAGGGUCUGGCUAGUCCACACAGCAUUCCAGGAUGGAAGAAAAACAUGGUCUGGAUAUUGGCAUUUCUUUAAA